AACGCACAUUGCGCCCUUUGGUAUUCCGAGGGGCAUGCCCGUUCGAGCGUCAUUACACCAAUCAAGCCUGGCUUGGUAUUGGGUCGCGGGGGCAAUCCCGGACCCCAAUGUCUCGCGGCUGGAACACCCCGAAUCUCAGCGUUGUGAAUCAAAAUUCGCUUCGAGGAAGGGUGGCCCAUCGCCGUUAAACAUACACUUCUCAGGUUGACCUCGGAUCGGGUAGGGAUACCCGCUGAACUUAA
rnacentral:misc_RNA from 1 species